rnacentral:tRNA from 1 species
ACCUGGUUGGCUCAGUCAGUGGGGUAUGAGACUUUUGAUCUCGGAGGUAUGAGUUCAAGUCCCACACUGGAUG